UAAACUACGAUUAGAUACCCUAUUAUUUUAAAUGUGUAAUGUUCAGACCAGAGUAGUAGUAGAUAUGUACUUGAAACUCAAAGAAUUUGGCGGUGCUUUAGUCCUUUCAGAGGAACCUGUCCCUUAAUCGAUAUUCCUCGUUAAAUCUUACUUGAUCUUGUGAUCAGUUUGUAUACCGCCGUCGUCAGAAUGUCCUAUAAGGGUAUAAAUUUUCUUACAUUUAAGUGAAUCAGAUGUCAGGUCAAGGUGCAGCUAAUGGUCAAGAGGAGGUGGGUUACAAUAAAUGAAUUUAUACGGAUAGAAGUUUGGAAGUUUAGUUUCUUGAAGGUGGAUUUGAUUGUAAUAGUUAAUAUUGAAUGAUUAUGAUUACUUGGCUCUAAAGCAUGCACACAUCGCCCGUCGCUCUUA
rnacentral:rRNA from 1 species